rnacentral:lncRNA from 1 species
CAACUUUCACAUUAUGCCGAACAAAUAAAGAGCCGCUGAAUUUCCAAGAAAAUAAUAUCAAGUAAAUAUAAAAUAAAUACUUAACAUUUUUAAAAUUUCUUGUGCAGGUAACGCUCAAAUCAAUGCCAUCAAUCACAUGAAAAUCACGGGAGAGUUAAACAAAGACCAUUGUACAAAAAUUGCACAGCAAACCACAAAAAACUGGGUUGAAAGUUGAAACUGAUGGAUGGCAUUUGCUACCCAUGGUUAACACAGGAAGAUUAAUAAAUUAUAGGGAAAAAUAAGAGAUAUAUAGAAUGAGUUAUUGCAAGGCAUCAGAGCGGAUAUUAGUCCAAGCAUGGAAUUUUCCACUGAGAGUGUAGGUUAUCUGUCACAAGAAAUUCCACACUGGAUAGCAACCAUAAGGAUUAGUUUACAGGCAGAAAUAUUGUUAAGAGUGUUAGGAAGUAUUAGUAUUAGUCUAGGAGUCCUUAUUAGUCUAUUAGUAUUAGUCUAGGAGUCCUUAUUAGUCUAUGUUUACUUUCCUUGCACCUCAAGUCAUAUGUAAUAUAUAUAUGCCCCUUGGGCCUUUAAUAUAGACAAGUUGCUUUCCUAACAUGGUAUUAGAGCUAGUUAAUUUUUUUUGCACGCCGCAACUCGUGCUAUUGAUCCACCUCGCCUCGUCGUCGUCCUUUGUGGCCGCCCCUUCUUUUCUCUGUCUCUCGUAGCGGCAGCUCUCCACGCCGGCUACUCUCCUCGUGCCCUGCCUCGUCCCAGUCUCCAUCGCCAAAUCGGAUCAGUCCAGGACGAGAUCGAAUCUUCCUGCUACCGCUCCAGCCGCUGGUGAAUCC